rnacentral:rRNA from 1 species
AUUGAACGCUGGCGGCAGGCCUAACACAUGCACGUCGAGCGAGCGGCGGACGGGUGAGUAAUGUAUGGGGACUGCCCGAUAGAGGGGGCUAACUACUGGAAACGGUAGCUAAUACCGCAUACUAUCGGAUAACCCAUAUGGGAUUAGCUAGUAGGUGGGGUAAAGGCUCACCAAGGCAACGAUCCGUAGCUGGUUUGAGAGGACGACCAGCCACACUGUGACUGAGACACGGCCCAGACUCGUACGGAGGCAGCAGUGGGGAAUUUUGGACAAUGGGGGAAACCCUGAUCCAACCAUCCCGCGUGUAUGAUGAAGGCCUUCGGGUUGUAAAGUACUUUUGGCAGAGAAGCGGUAUCUGCAGAAUAAGCACCGGCUAACUACGUGCCAGCAGCCGCGGUAAUUC